rnacentral:rRNA from 1 species
CCUACGGGAGGCAGCAGUGAGGAAUAUUGGUCAAUGGACGGAAGGCUGAACCAGCCAAGCCGCGUGAAGGAAGAAGGUUCUAAGAAUUGUAAACUGCUUUUGUCAGAGGAUAAACUCAGAUACGAGAACCUGUCUGAGAGUACCUUACGAAAAAGCAUCGGCUAACUCCGUGCCAGCAGCCGCGGUAAUACGGAGGAUGCGAGCGUUAUCCGGAUUUAUUGGGUUUAAAGGGUGCGUAGGCGGUCGGUUAAGUUAGCGGUAAAAGCCCGGGGCUCAACUUCGGAAGAGCCUUUGAAACUGGCCGUCUAGAGAGUUCGAGCGGUAGGCGGAAUG